rnacentral:rRNA from 1 species
GGCGUAAAGCGCGCGUAGGCGGUUUCUUAAGUCUGAUGUGAAAUCUUGCGGCUCAACCGCAAGCGGCCAUUGGAAACUGAGGAACUUGAGUGCAGAAGAGGAGAGCGGAAUUCCACGUGUAGCGGUGAAAUGCGUAGAUAUGUGGAGGAACACCAGUGGCGAAGGCGGCUCUCUGGUCUGUAACUGACGCUGAGGUGCGAAAGCGUGGGGAGCGAACAGGAUUAGAUACCCUGGUAGUCCACGCCGUAAACGAUGAGUGCUAGGUGUUAGGGGGUUUCCGCCCCUUAGUGCUGCAGUUAACGCAUUAAGCACUCCGCCUGGGGAGUACGGCCGCAAGGCUGAAACUCAAAAGAAUUGACGGGGGCCCGCACAAGCGGUGGAGCAUGUGGUUUAAUUCGAAGCAACGCGAAGAACCUUACCAGGUCUUGACAUCUUCGGAUGUCCCUAGAGAUAGGGAGUUCCCUUCGGGGACCGAAUGACAGGUGGUGCAUGGUUGUCGUCAGCUCGUGUCGUGAGAUGUUGGGUUAAGUCCCGCAACGAGCGCAACCCUUGAUCUUAGUUGCCAGCAUUUAGUUGGGCACUCUAAGGUGACUGCCGGUGACAAACCGGAGGAAGGUGGGGAUGACGUCAAAUCAUCAUGCCCCUUAUGACCUGGGCUACACACGUGCUACAAUGGAUGGAACAAAGGGCAGCGAAGCCGCAAGGUGUAGCAAAUCCCAUAAAUCCAUUCUCAGUUCGGAUUGCAGGCUGCAACUCGCCUGUAUGAAGCCGGAAUCGCUAGUAAUCGUGGAUCAGCAUGCCACGGUGAAUACGUUCCCGGGCCUUGUACACACCGCCCGUCACACCACGAGAGUUGGCAACACCCGAAGUCGGUGGGGUAACCUUGGAGCCAGCCGCCGAAGGUGACCCC